UUUUGGAACCAUUAGAAACAACAUAGCAAAGUUAAAAUAAGGCUUUGUCCGUACACAACUUGAAAAAGUGCGCACCGAUUCGGUGCUUUUUUG
rnacentral:sRNA from 20 species